CACACCGCCCGUCACACCAUGGGAGUCGUUUGCUCCAGAAGUACCUGAGCCAACUCGCAAGAGAGGCGGGGUCCCAAGGAGUGCACGGUAACUGGGGUG
rnacentral:rRNA from 1 species